rnacentral:rRNA from 1 species
AUUGAACGCUGGCGGCAUGCCUUACACAUGCAAGUUGAACGGCAGCGCGGACUUCGGUCUGGCGGCGAGUGGCGAACGGGUGAGUAAUACAUCGGAACGUACCCUGUUGUGGGGGAUAACUAGUCGAAAGAUUAGCUAAUACCGCAUACGACCUGAGGGUGAAAGUGGGGGACCGCAAGGCCUCACGCAGCAGGAGCGGCCGAUGUCUGAUUAGCUAGUUGGUGGGGUAAAGGCCCACCAAGGCGACGAUCAGUAGCUGGUCUGAGAGGACGACCAGCCACACUGGGACUGAGACACGGCCCAGACUCCUACGGGAGGCAGCAGUGGGGAAUUUUGGACAAUGGGGGCAACCCUGAUCCAGCAAUGCCGCGUGUGUGAAGAAGGCCUUCGGGUUGUAAAGCACUUUUGUCCGGAAAGAAAUCGCGCUGGUUAAUACCUGGCGUGGAUGACGGUACCGGAAGAAUAAGCACCGGCUAACUACGUG